CUGCUAUUGUAGGUGUCUCCAAGACAUCGGCUUCAGGUUUUGUGUCGGCUUCAGGAUAGAUCUCCAUCACAGGCACAUCAGUUUAAACAGGUUUCUCCGCAUCCAUCAGGUAAUCAGAGGAUCCAAGCUCCGACUCUCCAGAUUCCGAUCCAGGAUCCGAAACCGGUCCUUGAUUCUCAUCAGGUAAUCAGAGGAUCCAAGCUCCGACUCUCCAGAUUCCGAUCCAGGAUCCGAAACCGGUCCUUGAUUCUCAACCAGAACCUCGCUGCCGAUGAAGACUCUGCUGGUUCCGCCGCCGCCGCCUAAACUAUUAAAAAAUCAAAAAUCAGAUUCGAAACCAAAAAAAAAAAGAAAGAAACUCAGAUUCGGACAAGAACAAACAUA
rnacentral:lncRNA from 1 species